AUGAGAUAAGGCAGGGCAGUGGAGGAGCUGGAGAUGACGGGGAAUGUUCUGCAUCUGCGUUUCUUGCACAGGCCGCUUCCUGGGUGUAACCACCAGUGGGGCUCUGACAGUUUCAAAAUGCUUUAGCCUGAGUUGGAGGUCGGAACCAAACGACAGACCUGUUCAUACACAGCUUUCUCUUUUGCAGUUCAAACCUUCUCCUGUCAUCCGACCUUCAAGGAGACGAUGCUCAGCUGCUCCGGAACAGCCACGGAGGAAACGGACGGAAGAGGAGAGCCCAGAUGACUGCGCCCGUGUGACCUUACAUACAAAGACUGAAUGCAGAGACUGAGCCAGCAAACAAUGGAGUAGAUAGCAUAGAGAGUUAGUUAACACUAAAAUGUAUUAGCAUAGCAUAGUGCAGUUGUCAAAUAGCUUUGUAAAUAAAUUCACUUUGUUCGUAUCCUUAUCUUGUGUUGUUUAAAAUGAUGGGGAUGGGUAGUCUGAUACUUCAGGAAAUAAAUGAUUUGGAA
ensembl:lncRNA